CUCAGUUGGAAAAUCAAGUGUAAACAAAUUGCGGUCAAAGACAAAGUACUGACUUUUUGCCAUAUUUCACCACAAAACAUCUUAUUUAAAAGCUUUCUUCAGAAUGUCCCAGCUUCCACCUCACCUUCCUCCGUUCCACCCCUGGAAGACCCAGUCCACCCUGGAUGCUGUAGCGUCAGCAAUGUGGCGCAGUCUCUGCCCUGGUCAAAGGAUGCUACCAAACCAUGACCUGGGACCAAUCUUUGCCAAUAUGUCACAGGACCUGGAGUCUGCAACCAUGCCCCUCUACACCAACUACUUUGACCCCAUCACUGACCACCUGCCCAACAGUUUCCCAUUGGGACACAAGCUGAACUUCAACCUGAGGCUGAACUGCUUUGACUCGUGGGCAGACCAAGAGAGAGAGAGGGAAAGAGGGAGGGCGAGACACCGCCAUGUCCCCUCUUAUGGAGGACCCCGCAUCAGUGGUGCCUGCCUGUCUAGACUGACUAGGAACGGAAUGCCAAGCGAGAGUAGAGGAUCUAUGACCAACAGUCAGUUUAUCUAUCAAAUGUAUGGUUACCACUGCAGAUGACCCUGGGCAUGU